rnacentral:rRNA from 1 species
UACAGAGGGCCCGAGCGUUGUUCGGAUUCAUUGGGCGUAAAGGGCGCGUAGGCGGCGCGGUAAGUCGGGUGUGAAAUCGCGGAGCUUAACUCCGAAACUGCAUUCGAUACUGCCGUGCUUGAGGACUGGAGAGGAGACUGGAAUUUACGGUGUAGCGGUGAAAUGCGUAGAUAUCGGAAGGAAGACCAGUGGCGAAGGCGGGUCUCUGGACAGUUCCUGACGCUGAGGCACGAAGGCCAGGGGAGCAAACGGG